rnacentral:lncRNA from 1 species
CUAAAGCACCUUUUGCUGUUAUUAACCACAAGUAUUUCAAAUUUCACUUACUAGCAUGUUUAAAUUGUCAAUCUAAGAAGAAAUGUGCACCAGUUUGUUGCAUGACCUCUGGAGCAAAGGGGCACCGUUUCAUCCAAAUAACCCCGUAGUAACUGUUGAUUGUUCAUACUUUCUACCUUUUGCUUAUGUAUCCUUGUUGGUAAACGUAGCAUGCUGACCUAUGACAUGAAUCCACUUCAAACAUUGAAUAUCUGAUCCAAGCUAAGUUGUGUCACAAAUACAUCUUUUCUGAUUUUAAGUUGUUGAUUUGAAGAUAUUAAGGACAUGAACUUUAUCAUUCUGAUUCGUAUCUGAUAUUAUUUAUUUUGUAUCCGGUGUCCUACCUGACCUUUGCACUGUUACAGUUCCUUAACAGAAGCUUUUUGCAUAGCCAUAUUAGAGGCUGCUAGUUGUGGAUUGUUAACAGUCAGCACGCGUGUCGGAGGUGUUCCUGAGGUAGGCACCACAAGUAUUUUUUCUAUUCUUAUUUGAUAUAUAAAUUCCUUUUAUGUAGUUUAUCUUUGAGAAAUUUUCUUAUACACUUCAGUUUCUUGUCAAUUCCAAUAUUUUGGACUACUAUCAUGUGGGGUUUGAUAUAGAUUCACUUCCUUACUAUAGGUUGUACCAGAUGAUAUGAUUGUUUUGGCAGAACCUGAUCCAAGUGAUAUGGUGCGCGCAAUCCAGAAGGCGAUAACUAUGCUGCCUAAAAUUGAUCCUCAAGUCAUGCACAAUCGAGUGAGUUUAUAGUUUAAUUGACCCUUUUCUUUUGCUUUCAUCAGGUAAACUAGUUACUUAGUCAGUCUGUUUAUUUUCUGUAGAUGAGGGAACUCUAUAGCUGGCAUGAUGUUGCCAAAAGAACCGAAAUUGUAUAUGAUCGUGCUUUGAAGUGUUCUGAUCAAAAUCUACUUGAACGACUCUCACGGUACACACUUUCAUAGGUUCAAUAUAAUUCUAAUAUGAACAUCUAGUUGUAAAAGAAAAUCCACUGGUCAUUCUGUUUCAUUUAUGUGAUUUUUGUAUUCUAAUUACCUGAGCAUAAAAUUAUUUAAUCUGCUUGUAACUUAAGAUGGUUGGUAGUAAAACAAGGUAUUUUUUUGGGAUCUUUAUUUGACAACACUACAAACUUUAGCAAUCCUUUUUCUGGUACAAGAAGUUCAGAUGUAAAACUAAUACCUAAUGAAUUAAGGAACUUACAAAUUUAUCAUUAGCUACUUCUAAGAAUGCGAAUUGU